rfam:Dipodomys ordii contig_33431, whole genome shotgun sequence.
GGUGGCUCAGUGGUAGAGUGCUUGUCUUGCAUGCAUGAGGCCUUGGGUUCGAUUCCUCAGCACCA